UGGGCAUCACCUCUCCCUGGGCUUCUCUCUCCUCUUGGGCAUCCUCCCUCAUCUUGAUGUGGUAGCAUGUGGGCUGUUCCAAGGUCUUGAAAUUAGAUCUCAAGGUUUCAUCUCCUUCCUCUCUAAAGAAGGCGAUCAUCCCUCUCUUCUAUAGAGUUUGGCGUGCACGCGAUGUAAAGGAUCCGUGCAUCUAGAUUUC
rnacentral:lncRNA from 1 species